rnacentral:rRNA from 1 species
GGGUCAGUAGGUUGGUCGUGCCACCGGUACGUACUGGUCUCACUGACUCCUCCUUCCUGAAGAACCGUAAUGCCAUUAAUUUGGUGUUGCGGGGAAACAGGACUGUUACUUUGAAAAAAUUAGAGUGUUUAAAGCAAGCUAACGCUUGAAUACAUUAGCAUGGAAUAAUGAAAUAGGACGAUCGAUCCUAUUUUGUUGGUUCCUAGGAUUGACGUA